rnacentral:lncRNA from 1 species
CCAGUAGCUUCUUGCUGUUGCCACAGUUUCAUUAGUGUUGAUUCUCAAUGUUGUCUGCUGAUGUUGCUAAAGCAGCCACACAGUAGCAUUACAAAGCCUGUGGGAAUUUUAAUAGCACCUUCAUAAAUAUAUUUAGUAGUAUAUGUAGAAAUAUGACCUAUACAGCACUGGCUAUCUAUUAGAUUCACCUGGGGAGCUUUUAAAGCACACAUGCUCGGGUUCUACCUGCAGCCUACUGAAUUAGAAUCUCUGGGUGGGAUGACCAUCUAUAUUUUUAAUAAAAGCUCCACAAGUUAAUUCUGAUGCACAGAAGAUAGACGAACCAUUACUUUAACAUGACUCACCUUGUAUUAGCUUAUUCUCAAAGCUACUUUCCCAUUCUUGAAAUUGGAUGAUGGCUUUUUAGGUACGUGCCAGAGAUAAAUGGCCCAGAAUAUGUUGAUUCUUUUAGAUUGUUUUAGGCAGACUUUAAGUAGAGGGCUUAAAUGCAUGUUUGGUUUUGCCGAUGCUUCACUAUCUUUUUUAAUUGGAGAGAGUGAAAAUUGCUAAAAAUUGCUGUCCAAUAGAAAUUUAUGAGCCCAUAUGUAAUAUAAACUUUUUUACUAACCACAUUAAAAAGAUAGAAAUGGUGAAAUAAAUUUUAAUAA